GAGCAGUUGAAGAAGUGUUGGUAUUUGAAUAGUGGGGAUAUCUAACGUAGGCCUUGGUUUAUUUAGUAAAAGUGUGAAAUUUGAUAACUUGUGGUAAGCUAGGUCUUAUAGGAGUUCUUGAUUUUAGGGAAUUUGGGGAAUAAAAAAGGAUUAGAUACCCUUCUAUUCUCAAAUUUAAUUGUAUAUUCUUGAGUAGUAAUCAGAUAUAUUCUCGAAACUCAAAGGAUUUGGCGGUAUUUAAGUCCGGUUAGAGGAACUUGUGCAGUAAACGAUAAUCCUCGAGAAUCUAGCCUUAUCUUGUACUUAUCAGUUUGUAUACCGCCAUUAUCAGGUAAUUUUAAUAGAAAUUUAUUGAAAUAGAUUAUAGUCUAGAAUAUUAGGUCAAGGUGCAGUUGAUGGUAAGGUUGUUAUGAGUUACAAUGAGUUAUGUUCAGACGGAGGGGGUAGCGGAAGAGUGCUCUUGAAGGUGGAUUUAAUAGUAAGAGGAGUUAUAGUACUUUUCUGAUAGGGGCUCUUAGAUAUGUACACAUCGCCCGUCGUCCUCACUCU
rnacentral:rRNA from 1 species